rnacentral:rRNA from 1 species
UAGGGAAUCUUCCACAAUGGACGCAAGUCUGAUGGAGCAACGCCGCGUGAGUGAAGAAGGCUUUCGGGUCGUAAAACUCUGUUAUCGAAGAAGAACGUGUGUGACAGUAACUGGUCAUGCAGUGACGGUAUUCAAUCAGAAAGUCACGGCUAACUACGUGCCAGCAGCCGCGGUAAUACGUAGGUGGCAAGCGUUGUCCGGAUUUAUUGGGCGUAAAGCGAGUGCAGGCGGUCUUUUAAGUCUGAUGUGAAAGCGNUUGCCGGGC